GGGAGUUUGGCUGGGGCGGCACAUCUGUUAAACAAUAACACAGGUGUCCUAAGGUCAGCUCAAUGAGAACAGAAAUCUCAUGUAGAAUAAAAGGGUAAAAGCUGACUUGAUUUUGAUUUUCAGUAUGAAUACAAACUCGGAAACGAUGGCCUAUCGAUCCUUUCGGUUUUUAGAAUUUGAAGCGAGAGGUACCAGAAAAGUUACCACAGGGAUAACUGGCUUGUGGC
rnacentral:rRNA from 1 species